AGCGAACGCUGGCGGCAGGCCUAACACAUGCAAGUCGAACGAAGUCUUCGGACUUAGUGGCGGACGGGUGAGUAACACGUGGGAACGUGCCUUUAGGUUCGGAAUAACUCAGGGAAACUUGUGCUAAUACCGAAUGUGCCCUUCGGGGGCAAGAUUUAUCGCCUUUAGAGCGGCCCGCUUCUGAUUAGCUAGUGGGUGAGGUAAAGGCUCACCAAGGCUACGAUCAGUAGCUGGUCUGAGAGGAUGCCCAGCAACAUUGGGACUGAGACACGGCCCAAACCCCUACGGGAGGCAGCAGUGGGGAAUCUUGCGCAAUGGGCGAAAGCCUGACGCAGCCAUGCCACGUGGAUGAUGAAGGUCUUAGGAUUGUAAAAUCCUUUCACCGGUGAAGAUAAUGACUGUAGCCGGAGAAGAAGCCCCGGCUAACUUCGUGCCAGCAGCCGCCGUAAAAC
rnacentral:rRNA from 1 species